rnacentral:rRNA from 1 species
GACGAACGCUGGCGGCGUGCUUAACACAUGCAAGUCGAACGGAAAGGCCCUGCUUUUGUGGGGUGCUCGAGUGGCGAACGGGUGAGUAACACGUGAGUAACCUGCCCUUGACUUUGGGAUAACUUCAGGAAACUGGGGCUAAUACCGGAUAGGAGCUCCUGCUGCAUGGUGGGGGUUGGAAAGUUUCGGCGGUUGGGGAUGGACUCGCGGCUUAUCAGCUUGUUGGUGGGGUAGUGGCUUACCAAGGCUUUGACGGGUAGCCGGCCUGAGAGGGUGACCGGCCAAAUUGGGAAUGAGAUACGGCCCAGACUCCUACGGGAGGCAGCAGGGGGGAAUAUUGCACAAUGGGCGGAAGCCUGAUGCAGCAACGCCGCGUGCGGGAUGACGGCCUUCGGGUUGUAAACCGCUUUCGCCUGUGACGAAGCGUGAGUGACGGUAAUGGGUAAAGAAGCACCGGCUAACUACGUG